rnacentral:rRNA from 1 species
GACGAACGCUGGCGGCGUGCUUAACACAUGCAAGUCGAACGGAAAGGCCUUUUCGGCGGUACUCGAGUGGCGAACGGGUGAGUAACACGUGGGUGAUCUGCCCUGCACUCUGGGAUAAGCCUGGGAAACUGGGUCUAAUACCGGAUAGGACCGCACUUUAGUGUGUGUGGUGGAAAGUUUUUUCGGUGUAGGAUGAGCCCGCGGCCUAUCAGCUUGUUGGUGGGGUAAUGGCCUACCAAGGCGGCGACGGGUAGCCGGACUGAGAGGUUGGUCGGCCACAUUGGGGCUGAGAUACGGCCCAGACUCCUACGGGAGGCAGCAGUGGGGAAUAUUGCACAAUGGGCGCAAGCCUGAUGCAGCGACGCCGCGUGGGGGAUGACGGCCUUCGGGUUGUAAACUCCUUUCGCCAGGGACGAAGCGUUUUGUGACGGUACCUGGAGAAGAAGCACCGGCUAACUACGUG